UUUAUGGAGAGUUUGAUCCUGGCUCAGGAUGAACGCUGGCGGCGUGCCUAAUACAUGCAAGUCGAGCGAACAGACGGGGAGCUUGCUCCCCCGACGUUAGCGGCGGACGGGUGAGUAACACGUGGGUAACCUACCUAUAAGACUGGAAUAACUCCGGGAAACCGGGGCUAAUGCCGGAUAACAUGUGUGGACCGCAUGGUCCUACAGUGAAAGAUGGUCUUGCUGUCACUUAUAGA
rnacentral:rRNA from 1 species